CAACAAUUUAUAUUAUCAAAUCAUACAAAAGUUGUGAAGAAAAUAUGAAGAGUUUCAUUAAGCUUUUCCUUUUCUCCAUGGCAAUAUGUUUCACUUUGUUUGACUAUUCGCUAGGUGAUCCUAAAUUUUGUCCGGGAACGUUCACGGCUAAAGACACGUGUGCUAAAAUUAGUUGUGGAAAUCUAGCUCUAUUUCAAUGGCCAGCAAGUUCGAUGCCUCAUAAUUGUAUUUGUGCUGCUGCAGGAAGCAAUCAAAGCCUGUGUACUUGUCAAAUUGUGUGUCAAGCAAAAUAAGGUUAUAAAAAUGAUUGUCAUUGAUGUUGAGUGAUUAAUCAUACAUGUGCUAUGAAUGAUUGAGAAUAAAUAGAAAUUUUUUCUA